GACGAACGCUGGCGGCGUGCUUAACACAUGCAAGUCGAACGGUGAAGCAGAGCUUGCUCUGUGGAUCAGUGGCGAACGGGUGAGUAACACGUGAGUAACCUGCCCUUGACUCUGGGAUAAGCGUUGGAAACGACGUCUAAUACCGGAUACGAGCUGAGACCGCAUGGUCAUCAGUUGGAAAGAUUUUUUGGUCAAGGAUGGACUCGCGGCCUAUCAGCUUGUUGGUGAGGUAAUGGCUCACCAAGGCGACGACGGGUAGCCGGCCUGAGAGGGUGACCGGCCACACUGGGACUGAGACACGGCCCAGACUCCUACGGGAGGCAGCAGUGGGGAAUAUUGCACAAUGGGCGCAAGCCUGAUGCAGCAACGCCGCGUGAGGGAUGACGGCCUUCGGGUUGUAAACCUCUUUUAGUAGGGAAGAAGCGAAAGUGACAGUACCUGCAGAAAAAGCACCGGCUAACUACGU
rnacentral:rRNA from 1 species